rnacentral:rRNA from 1 species
UACGGGGGGGGCAAGCGUUGUUCGGACUUACUGGGCGUAAAGGGCUCGUAGGUGGCCAAUUAAGUCAGGCGUGAAAUCCCCAGGCUCAACUUGGGAACUGCGUCUGAUACUGGUUGGCUUGAAUUCGGGAGAGGGAUGCAGAAUUCCAGGUGUAGCGGUGAAAUGCGUAGAUAUCUGGAGGAAUACCGGUGGCGAAGGCGGCAUCCUGGACCGAGAUUGACACUGAGGAGCGAAAGCCAGGGGAGCAAACGGG